AUUGAGCGCUGGCGGCAUGCCUUACACAUGCAAGUCGAACGGUAACGGGCCUUCGGGUGCCGACGAGUGGCGAACGGGUGAGUAAUACAUCGGAACGUGCCCGAUCGUGGGGGAUAACGAGGCGAAAGCUUUGCUAAUACCGCAUACGAUCUACGGAUGAAAGCAGGGGACCGCAAGGCCUUGCGCGGACGGAGCGGCCGAUGGCAGAUUAGGUAGUUGGUGGGAUAAAAGCUUACCAAGCCGACGAUCUGUAGCUGGUCUGAGAGGAUGAUCAGCCACACUGGGACUGAGACACGGCCCAGCCUCCUAGGGGAGCCGGCAGGGGGAAUUUUGAAACAAUGGGCCAAAGCCUGCCCCACCCAUGCCGCGUGAGGAAUAAAGCCUUUCGGUUUGAAAACUUCUUUUGUCGGGAACAAAAACCUUUCUUUAAAUACGGGGGGUUCAUGACGGUACCGAAAAAAAAGCCACCGCCUAACUACGUG
rnacentral:rRNA from 1 species